rnacentral:rRNA from 1 species
UACGUAGGGUGCAAGCGUUAAUCGGAAUUACUGGGCGUAAAGCGUGCGCAGGCGGUUGUGCAAGACCGAUGUGAAAUCCCCGGGCUCAACCUGGGAAUGGCAUUGGUGACUGCACGGCUAGAGUGUGUCAGAGGGGGGUAGAAUUCCACGUGUAGCGGUGAAAUGCGUAGAGAUGUGGAGGAAUACCGAUGGCGAAGGCAGCCCCCUGGGAUAACACUGACGCUCAUGCACGAAAGCGUGGGGAGCAAACAGG